AACGUAGGUUCCGAGCGUUAUCCGGAUUUACUGGGCGUAAAGCGUGCGCAGGCGGUUCGCCAAGUCAGGUGUGAAAUCCCCGGGCUUAACCUGGGAAUUGCGCUUGAAACUAGCGGGCUUGAGUGUGGCAGAGGGGGGUGGAAUUCCACGUGUAGCAGUGAAAUGCGUAGAGAUGUGGAGGAACACCGAUGGCGAAGGCAGCCCCCUGGGUCAACACUGACGCUCAUGCACGAAAGCGUGGGGAGCAAACAGG
rnacentral:rRNA from 1 species